rnacentral:rRNA from 1 species
UACAGAGGUCUCAAGCGUUGUUCGGAUUCAUUGGGCGUAAAGGGUGCGUAGGUGGCGCUGUAAGUCGGGUGUGAAAUCUCGGGGCUUAACUCCGAAACUGCACUCGAUACUGCGGCGCUUGAGGACUGGAGAGGAGACUGGAAUUCAUGGUGUAGCAGUGAAAUGCGUAGAGAUCAUGAGGAAGACCAGUGGCGAAGGCGGGUCUCUGGACAGUUCCUGACACUGAGACACGAAGGCCAGGGGAGCAAACGGG